UUGCUGCAGUCACCAGCAAGGUUUUAGGGCGGGAAAGGGACACCACUUUCUCUUUGUGGCUCAGAGUUGCAGUCACAGGGUGGUUUGUACCUAGGCAGACAGGAGGCCCAUCAUGGAGCCAAGUGGCUGGUGGCUUGAGUGGGCUGCUGGAGGCAGGGGUGUUUCCAGAGCCUCGGGCAUAGCCCCAAAGGGAGAAGAGCAGGCUGCGGCAGUCCUGUGGGCAGGGAGCUGGCAGCAGAGCAGGAAUAGCUCAGGACAGGAGCUGCAAGGUAGGGCUGGGGGGUGGCCCCUGGGGCUGGUGACCAGGGAACCCCAGGUGAGUGCUCCCAGAGUGCCUAGAGGGCUCAGGUGAGGUGGGGAGGGCCGAUGGAAGACGUGGAGAGGCUCUGCAGAGACUCAGAGGUGUGGUCUUGAGUGCUCCUGGCAGGGAAGGAGGGGCAGGUCCACAGGGGAAGGCCCUAAGGCUAGUGGUUGCAGUGUGUUGGGGGGGGGGGCAUUGUUUUUGUUAAUGUCAGAAUGUGCAACAGCAAGUUCCAGUGUCUAAUUUGUCAAGAUAUAGAGAGUGCAGCGGUUCCUCUCCUUCAGGGGAGAGCCUGUCCACUCUGAACAGUGGCACACUAGGAGACCUGGCCACCAGCAGAAGCCGGACAGCAAGCACAAGGCCAUGAAAGGCUUGAGCUCUCCUGGCUCCCAAGAGGCCUCCUCCUCCUGACCUGAAGUCCCUGCGGUCAUCCUUCCUGAGCAGUGGCUCUGGGACCCAAGCAGACCGGCACCAGGAGGAGAGAGGGAGCCAGUGAAGGACAGGGGCGAGGAGGCAGGGUGGAGCGGCUGGCAGCAGAACCACAGGUCUGAGAAGAGAGCCCUGAAAACGGAAUCCCUGAGGAGACAAAAGACCCCUAGAGCUGGGGAGACUGAGGCACAAGUGUUGGGUCCCUGCAAGCAGGACUGAGGCACAGAGAGAAGGGUCCCUGAGGUGAGUGAAGGUCCAGAGGGGAUCUGAGCCCAGGGAAAUGGAAGCAGCAGGAGAGAAGGGGGCAGAGGAGCAAGGGUUGGUGAGAAAAGGUACCAGGCCGCGGACUGAAACCCUGGGAGGACAGGCCAGGGCCAGGGCAGGGCAGCUGCCAGGGAAACCCACUGAAGCUGAGCUCUGGUGGGUCCAGUCCGGCCCCUUGGCUGCUCUGGAAUGAGGGAUGGUGGCUGCCACUCAAACACGCGGACACGGAGCUCCCUGCCCAGCAGAUGCAGGGUGGCAGUGAGGAAGCACCUUGGCCUGGGCUGGUGGACCAGGACACUCACUUCUUGCCCUUGAGUGUACCCAGGAUCUUGGGCACGAACUUGCCCACCUUGCUGUCCCUGGCAUCCUCCUCCGCCAGGCCAUCCCCUGCCCCAGAACCACCAGCCUCUUCCUUUUUACAGAAGACCUCAAAGCGGCUGUAGACGCGCUUCUCCUUGCGCAUGCUUUCCAUGCGGCGCAGUAGGCGGUCGCGGUCCUCUGCGCUGGCAGGUAGGGUGCGGCUCAGCCGGCCUUGCGUACCCAGACUGUCUGACCGGAAGAUGGCUGAACAUUUGUCCUUGUCGGACAUGUCUGGGGCCAGGCCUCCAGGAGCUGGUGAGUGGCCCAGCUCGGGGCUGCUGUGGGCUGGGCCUGGGCCUGGAACCCCACGAUGCUUCUGACCAUGGGCGCUGAUCUGCUCCAGGAUGGCCUUAGUGUCAUCUCGUAGGUUGCUGCUGUAUAAGGCAUUGGCCGUGGCAGAGGAUAGCCGUGCCCUUGGGCCCCGCUCAUCCCCUGCAGUAGCCUCUGUACUAUCACCUCGGCCCAAAGAUGGUCGCCGGGGACUCUCUGGCUGCCCAUUCUCCUGUGGCACUGGGAAGUUGCCCUCAUCCUCCCCGUGACGCUCAUUCUUGGGGCUCAGCAGCUGCCUGAGGCGGAGGGAGCCUUUGCGCAGGACUUCCAUGGGGCCUCCAGCCACCUCCUCUGUGGGCCCAACCUUAGGAGACUCACUGGAUGAGGCGAGGGUGAGACUGCCCCUGCGCUCAGGCACAGGGGGUACCGGGCUGCCCCUGCGCUCAGGCACAGGGGGUACCAGGCUACCUCUGCGUUCUGGGUAGGUCGAGGUGGGGCUGCCCUUCUGUUCAAUAAAUCCUGUAGUUGGGCUGCCUCUCCGAUUGGAUAACCCUGGCGUGGGGCUCCCCUUCCGCUCUGGGUAGGCUGAGGUGGGGCUCCCUUUGGGCUCAGAAAGGGGCACCUGGUGUGCAGCAGGCACUUCUGGCGGGGGGCUGUCCCGCCCCUGCGGGGAGGUGGAGCGGCCCUGGGCAGAGAGGAAGCGGGAGGGCAGGCGGUCAGUGCCACUGCGGCCCAGCGUGUCAAGAAGUUGAGCAGCCGUGAGGGAGGCGGCUCCCGGCUGCCGCUCCGCCUCCUGGUGUAGCCUUUGGGCAAAGGAAUCACGCAAGUCAAGCAAGCAGCUCUCCAGGCUGCGGUGCUCGCCCCCUGCUGCGCCGGGUGCGGUCACCUCUUCCCGCCAAGCUUGGGACACGACAGCCUUGCUGUGGCUGGAGACAGUGACCGCACCUCCCCCCGCGCUUGGGUCACGGGCUGGACCCUUGUAUUUCUCCAGCAGCUCGGCCACUUUAGCAGAGGCGGUGGAGCGCAUGGCCUCUCCACUGGGACCCAACGUCUCGUUGACCGUUUGUUCCUUGUGCAGCAACUGCACCUUCUCAGUGGUGGCAGUUGUGGCACCUCCAGAGCCUUCAGCCUGCGCGAAGAUAAGUGAGGAGCGUAGCCUGGAGCUGCGCUGGAUGAGUGGGUUUAGGCGUGAGCGGAACGAGUCCUGCCUGACCAGGCCUGCCUCCUCCGAGCCCUCGCGCUCCGAGCUGUCGCCGCCACCGCUUCCCGGGCCUGGCAACAGGCCCUUGACUGGCAAGGUAGCAGGGACACGGAAGGCCGCCCGGCCCCCAGGAGCCAGCACGUCAUCUUCGUAGACGUCAGCGUCCAUGGGUGUGGGCAGGCCCUCCUCACCCACAUCCUCGUGGCACCCGCUGAGGUAAGAGGCGAGGCGCCAGUGCCGCAGCCCCGCUCGCCCCUCUGGCCCGGGCCUGCGCUCGGGCUCUGCCUCUGGAGCAGCGUCUGGGCCUUGCCUCGCCACCGCCUGGCAUGGGAAACGCUGGCCCAGGUUGGGGCGCAGGGCCCCGCCGGGUUCCAGGCCACCAGGACCAGGCUUGAAGGCAGGGUCCGAGCCGUGGCGCACCUCGCGCGAGGCGCUGGAGGGCACGUACUCCAGCCGCUGGUGCACCUCCGGGCCAAGCUCGGGGACGCGCGGCCCAGCGCCCAGCGCCAAGUCGUCGGGGUCAGCCAAGCCCGGGCGGCCGGCGCGAAGCUUCUCGAACAGGCCCUGCGGACGUGUGGGUGCGAACUGUGGCUCCCACUGGUAAUGCUGCUGGUAGAGUUGGUCCCGGUGGAAGUGGCUGGUCUGGAAGCGGAAGUCGUCCCCGUGGCUGAGGAACGUCUGUCGGGACACCUGCCGCGCAGCCGCGAAGUUCUCCACAGCGCCUGCGCCGUCGGCCGCGGCGUAGCUGUGCCGCUUGAAGGCGUCCAUCUCCAGGUGCCGCGCCUGGAGGAAGCCCCGUGGGCCCCCGAACUCCCCGCUGGGCCCUACUUCCGUGUCCAGCCGUCGCGACAGUGGCCGCAUCCCUGCAUGCGGCUCCAGAGCGCCCCCGGGCACCCGGGGCAGCUCCUCCCUGCGGAAGGUCGAAAGGAAGUGGCGAUCUGGGUCCAGGAAGGAGGGGAAACCCAGGCCUUCUUCGCGGGGCGGAGGGAACAGCAGGUGUGCCCGUUUAGGGAAGGAGAAAGGGGUGGGCGCCCCAGGGAUGCCCACCAGGGGCCCCGCCCCGGAGUAUGGAGCCAAGGCAUAAGUGUCCAUGCGGGCCAGCGCCCCAGCUGAGGGCACCAAGGGCUCAGACUGUGCGAAGAGGAUGCGGAACUCUUCGUCGAAGCUGGAGACCAGCUCUCCCUGGAACACGUGUGCCAGGCUGCGGUGGAUCUUCUCGAAGGACCACAUGAAGCUGUGGGAUAUAGACGGGGACCCUGCGUGCAGCAGCCUCCAGCACUUCGCUGAGCAAGUCCACAUCAGUGAACAUGUCCAUCACCACGGCCACCACCUGCAAGCACCAAGUCAGGAGGGAGGGUGGAAUCUGUUGUCCCCACCCCAUUCUUCAACUUACCCAGGAGAAGGGAGAGCUAUGAACCAUGUGAACCCCAUUCCCUAGCAGCCAUGUCUGGGAAGGUGGUCAGGAGGAAGGGACCUGACAGGGGUCAUGGGGCUGCUAGUAGAGUGGGUGGCCCACAUGGGAGCAGAGGCAGGGACAAGGCCUGCAUCCUGCUUGGGUCAAGGGGAGCCCCUGCAAUCUCUUCCGUGCUAACCCCAGACUGGAUGUCAGGGCUGAGGCCCAGGCUCCAGGUCUGUUCUCAGGAAGGGGGCACUGCCCUGGGAUGGGAGGAGAACAGGGGUCUUUAGCAGCUGACCCUGGUUUAACAGGCCAUCUCUGCUGUUCACCAUCUGCUUGGGAGGGGAGGAAGCUUUGAGCUGGCCAAAGCCCAUCAGGCAAGUCUAGAAAAUUCUUGGGACAAAUCCAUGCUAGGAGAGAACCAACAUCCCAGAGCCUCUGGGCGUCUGGACAUCAACCACCAGCCACCCUGUGCAGACCCUGUCUUGGCCCAACCCUCAGUGACCUGGAAGAACCUGCCAGGAAGCCCCUGCUGCAGCUUGAAGCCUGGAAGGCCCAGCUGGCAGUCCUGGCUUGCCUCCGUGCUGGUGCUGGUUGUUUCUCCACCCCCUCUCCCUCCUCCUUAUGCUUCCAGGUCCAGCCCAGGCCACCCUCCCCCACUGCCCACAGAGCCUGCGACCGUGCACCUGC